rnacentral:rRNA from 2 species
AGCAGCCGCGGUAAUUCCAGCUCCAAUAGCGUAUAUUAAAGUUGUUGCAGUUAAAAAGCUCGUAGUUGAAUUUCGGGGUUCUACCGUUGGUCGGGCUAUUGUCUGUACUGGCGUGUAGAAUUUCUACCUUCUGGGGAACUAUCAUGUUAUUAAUUUAGCGUGGUAGGAAACCAGGACCUUUACCUUGAAAAAUUAGAGUGUUCAAAGCAGGCUUAUGUCUGAAUACAUUAGCAUGGAAUAAUAAAAUAGGACGGUGGUCCUGUUUUGUUGGUUUCUGAAUCACCGUAAUGAUUAAUAGGGAUAGUUGGGGGCAUUAGUAUUCAAUUGUCAGAGGUGAAAUUCUUGGAUUUAUUGAAGACUAACUACUGCGAAAGCAUUUGCCAAGGAUGUUUUCAUUAAUCAAGAACGAAAGUUAGGGGAUCGAAGACGAUCAGAUACCGUCGUAGUCUU